ACCUGCGGAGGGAUCAUUACCGAGUUAUACAACUCAUCAACCCUGUGAACAUACCUAAAACGUUGCCUCGGCGGGAACAGACGGCCCCGUAACACGGGCCGCCCCCGCCAGAGGACCCCCUAACUCUGUUUCUAUAAUGUUUUUUCUGAGUAAACAAGCAAAUAAAUCAAAACUUUCAACAACGGAUCUCUUGGCUCUGGCAUCGAUGAAGAACGCAGCGAAAUGCGAUAAGUAAUGUGAAUUGCAGAAUUCAGUGAAUCAUCGAAUCUUUGAACGCACAUUGCGCCCGCCAGUAUUCUGGCGGGCAUGCCUGUUCGAGCGUCAUUACAACCCUCAGGCCCCCGGGUCUGGCGUUGGGGAUCGGCGGAAGCCCCCUGUGGGCACAACGCCGUCCCCCAAAUACAGUGGCGGUCCCGCCGCAGCUUCCAUUGCGUAGUAGCUAACACCUCGCAACUGGAGAGCGGCGCGGCCACGCCGUAAAACACCCAACUUCUGAAUGUUGACCUCGAAUCAGGUAGGAAUACCCGCUGAACUUAAGCAUAUCAUA
rnacentral:rRNA from 1 species